UGGGGAAUAUUGCGCAAUGGGGGAAACCCUGACGCAGCGACGCCGCGUGCGGGAUGAAGGCCUUCGGGUUGUAAACCGCUUUUGAUUGGGAGCAAGCCUUCGGGUGAGUGUACCUUUCGAAUAAGCGCCGGCUAACUACGUGCCAGCAGCCGCGGUAAUACGUAGGGCGCAAGCGUUAUCCGGAAUUAUUGGGCGUAAAGAGCUUGUAGGCGGUUCGUCGCGUCUGGUGUGAAAGCCCAUCGCUUAACGGUGGGUCUGCGCCGGGUACGGGCGGGCUAGAGUGCAGUAGGGGAGACUGGAAUUCCCGGUGUAACGGUGGAAUGUGUAGAUAUCGGGAAGAACACCAAUGGCGAAGGCAGGUCUCUGGGCUGUUACUGACGCUGAGAAGCGAAAGCGUGGGGAGCGAACAGGAUUAGAUACCCUGGUAGUCCACGCCGUAAACGGUGGACGCUGGAUGUGGGGCCCAUUCCACGGGUUCCGUGUCGGAGCUAACGCGUUAAGCGUCCCGCCUGGGGAGUACGGCCGCAAGGCUAAAACUCAAAGAAAUUGACGGGGGCCCGCACAAGCGGCGGAGCAUGCGGAUUAAUUCGAUGCAACGCGAAGAACCUUACCUGGGCUUGACAUGUGCCUGUCGACUGCAGAGAUGUGGUUUCCCUUCGGGGCAGGUUCACAGGUGGUGCAUGGUCGUCGUCAGCUCGUGUCGUGAGAUGUUGGGUUAAGUCCCGCAACGAGCGCAACCCUCGCCCUGUGUUGCCAGCGGGUUAUGCCGGGAACUCACGGGGGACCGCCGGGGUUAACUCGGAGGAAGGUGGGGAUGACGUCAGAUCAUCAUGCCCCUUACGUCCAGGGCUUCACGCAUGCUACAAUGGCCGGUACAACGGGAUGCGACAUGGUGACAUGGAGCGGAUCCCUUAAAACCGGUCUCAGUUCGGAUCGUAGUCUGCAACUCGACUACGUGAAGGCGGAGUCGCUAGUAAUCGCGAAUCAGCAACGUCGCGGUGAAUGCGUUCCCGGGCCU
rnacentral:rRNA from 2 species